AACGCUGGCGGCGUGCCUAAUACAUGCAAGUCGAACGAGUUCUCGUUGAUGAUCGGUGCUUGCACCGAGAUUCAACAUGGAACGAGUGGCGGACGGGUGAGUAACACGUGGGUAACCUGCCCUUAAGUGGGGGAUAACAUUUGGAAACAGAUGCUAAUACCGCAUAGAUCCAAGAACCGCAUGGUUCUUGGCUGAAAGAUGGCGUAAGCUAUCGCUUUUGGAUGGACCCGCGGCGUAUUAGCUAGUUGGUGAGGUAAUGGCUCACCAAGGCGAUGAUACGUAGCCGAACUGAGAGGUUGAUCGGCCACAUUGGGACUGAGACACGGCCCAAACUCCUACGGGAGGCAGCAGUAGGGAAUCUUCCACAAUGGACGCAAGUCUGAUGGAGCAACGCCGCGUGAGUGAAGAAGGCUUUCGGGUCGUAAAACUCUGUUGUUGGAGAAGAAUGGUCGGCAGAGUAACUGUUGUCGGCGUGACGGUAUCCAACCAGAAAGCCACGGCUAACUACGUGCCAGCAGCCGCGGUAAUACGUAGGUGGCAAGCGUUAUCCGGAUU
rnacentral:rRNA from 2 species